rnacentral:lncRNA from 1 species
AUCCUCAGAGCAAUAUUUUUUUUUUAAAAAAGUUAUUUAAUAAAAAUUGUAUAGGCGCUUGAAAUAAUUUUUGACAGACAAAAUAGUGAUUUGAAAAAUAAUGUCAUUACUUUUUAGAAAAAAAGGCUCUAGGAUCUGGAAGAUUAAUUUGAAAUAGCAUUAACGAUUUUAACAGGAGCCUGGCAUAAUGAAAUAACACCAC